GAUGAACGCUGGCGGCGUGCCUAAUACAUGCAAGUCGAGCGAACAGACGAGGAGCUUGCUCCUCUGACGUUAGCGGCGGACGGGUGAGUAACACGUGGAUAACCUACCUAUAAGACUGGGAUAACUUCGGGAAACCGGAGCUAAUACCGGAUAAUAUAUUGAACCGCAUGGUUCAAUAGUGAAAGACGGUUUUGCUGUCACUUAUAGAUGGAUCCGCGCCGCAUUAGCUAGUUGGUAAGGUAACGGCUUACCAAGGCAACGAUGCGUAGCCGACCUGAGAGGGUGGUCGGGCACACUGGAACUGAGACACGGUCCAGACUCCUACGGGAGGCAGCAGUAGGGAAUCUUCCGCAAUGGGCGAAAGCCUGACGGAGCAACGCCGCGUGAGUGAUGAAGGUCUUCGGAUCGUAAAACUCUGUUAUUAGGGAAGAACAAAUGUGUAAGUAACUAUGCACGUCUUGACGGUACCUAAUCAGAAAGCCACGGCUAACUACGUG
rnacentral:rRNA from 1 species